UAGGGAAUCUUCCACAAUGGACGCAAGUCUGAUGGAGCAACGCCGCGUGAGUGAAGAAGGUUUUCGGAUCGUAAAGCUCUGUUGUUGGUGAAGAAGGAUAGAGGCAGUAACUGGUCUUUAUUUGACGGUAAUCAACCAGAAAGUCACGGCUAACUACGUGCCAGCAGCCGCGGUAAUACGUAGGUGGCAAGCGUUGUCCGGAUUUAUUGGGCGUAAAGCGAGCGCAGGCGGAAUGAUAAGUCUGAUGUGAAAGCCCACGGCUCAACCGUGGAACUGCAUCGGAAACUGUCAUUCUUGAGUGCAGAAGAGGAGAGUGGAAUUCCAUGUGUAGCGGUCGAAUGCGUAGAUAUAUGGAAGAACACCAAUGGCGAAGGCGGCUCUCUGGUCUGCAACUGACGCUGAGGCUCGAAAGCAUGGGUAGCGAACAGG
rnacentral:rRNA from 1 species